rnacentral:rRNA from 1 species
GAUGAACGCUGGCGGCGUGCCUAAUACAUGCCAGUCGAGCGAACAGACGAGGAGCUUGCUCCUCUGACGUUAGCGGCGGACGGGUGAGUAACACGUGGAUAACCUCCCUAUAAGACUGGGAUAACUUCGGGAAACCGGAGCUAAUACCGGAUAAUAUAUUGAACCGCAUGGUUCAAUUGUGAAAGAUGGUUUUGUUGUAACUUAUAGAUGGAUCCGCGCCGCAUUAGCUAGUUGGUAAGGUACCGGCUUACCAAGGCAACGAUGCGUAGCCGACCUGAGAGGGUGGUCUGCCACACUGGAACUGAGACACGGUCCAGACUCCUACGGGAGGCAGCAGUAGGGAAUCUUCCACAAUGGGCGAAAGCCUGACGGAGCAACGCCGCGUGAGUGAUGAAGGUCUUCGGAUCGUAAAACUCUGUUAUUAGGGAAGAACAAAUGUGUAAGUAACUAUGCACGUCUUGACGGUACCUAAUCAGAAAGCCACGGCUAACUACGUG